AGACUGCGGCCGAGACGGGGAGGGGGAAGCCUCGCCUGGGGGGCGGCAGUGGCCUGGGCGGCUCUCCGGCUGCUGUUGUAUGGCUGCACGUUGGCGCUACCGGACGGGAUGCUGUAUCCCCGAGAGAGCCCGUCGUGGCAGCGCAAGCAGCUGGACGGCCUCUGAAGCUUCCGCGCCGACUUCUCCGACAACCGACGCCGGGGCUUCGAGGAGCAGAGUCAGGCCCCACCGUGGACAUGCCGGUUCCCUCCAGCUUCAACGACAUCGGCCAGGGCUGGCGGCUGCGGCAUUUUGUCAGCUGGUUGUGGUAUGAACGGGAGGUGACCCUGCUGGAGCGAUGGAUCCAGGACCUGUGCACAAGAGUGGUGCUGAGGAUUGGCAGUGCCCACUUCUAUGCCAUCGUGGACUGCUGUGGUCUCUGCUUCUAUACACGACACCCCCCACCUACAUCGAUGACGUCACCGUCACCACCGGCGUGAAGCGAGACAGUGGUGAGGGCUUCUGGACUGGAUGGAGGACCUGAAGACGUGAGGUGGAGGCACAGGUAGAAGAGAAGAUUCUCACCAUCGCUGAUUCACACAAAAGCAUUUCUCCAAGUGGUUGCAGAUGACAUGAUUUCCCAAAGUGUUAGAGCUGAAGUGUGUUUCCUUGUGUAUAUAUACUGUGGUUCCUUUAUCCCUUCAUCUGUGGAUAGACAGGUGCAACCGUGUGGUUCCCCACGAUAUGAUUUCAUUGUGGUUUUCUGUCUGAAGAGUAUCCCAGUAUGUACCUGUGGAGCAGCUUCUUUAUCCCUUCAUCUGUGGAUAAGCAGGUCAUGUCCUCCAGGUUUCUGCACGUUGCUGCAGAUGACAUGAUUUCAUGAAUUUCUGCGGCCGAAGAGGAUUCCACUGCGUGCUGCAGUUUCUUUAUCCCUUUAUCUGUGCAUGAACAGGACCUGCUGAAGCUCACACCCGUGGACCACCCAGACUGCCUGCCGCUACAGGAUGCCCUCCGCAUCUCCCAGGACUUCUUUCCGGCAUCAGUGUGGACAUUGACCCCACUGGACUGCAGUCACAGUGGACUCCCAAGGGGCAGGAUCCACCUCUGAUGUUCAGUGAAGACUACCAGAAAAGUCUGCUAGAGCAGUACCAUCUGGGUCUGGAUCAAAAACUCAGAAAAUACGUGGUUGGAGAGCUCAUCUGGAAUUUUGCCGAUUUCAUGACUAACCAGUGUCAGCCCAAGACUACCCCGUCGGUCAUUCUGUUCCUGCCGUCCUGUGAGGAGCCCCAAGCCAACAAGGCCACACUGGUGUGUCUCAUGAAUAACUUUAUCCGGGAAUCUUGAUGGUGACCUGGAAGGCAGAUGGUACCCUCAUCACCCAGAGCGUGGAGAAGACCACGCCCUCCAAACAGAGCAACAACAAGUACGUGGCCAGCAGCUACCUGAGCCUGACGCCCGAGCAGUGGAGGUCCCGCAGAAGCUACAGCUGCCAGGUUAUGCAAGAAGGGAGCACCGUGGAGAAGUCAGUGGCCCCUGCAGAAUGUUCAUAGGUUCCAGCCCCCACCCCACCCACAGGGGCCUGGAGCUGCAGGAUCCCAGGGGAGGGGUCUCUCUCUGCAUCCCAAGCCAUUCAGCCCUUCUCGCUGUACCCAGUAAACCCUCAAUAAAUAUCUUUGUCAGCCAGAAA
rnacentral:lncRNA from 1 species